CAUUUUCUCAGGUAACGUAGCUUAACGCGGUGGAAGUUGACCGCCCUGGGGAGUACGGUCGCAAGAUUAAAACUCAAAGGAAUUGACGGGGACCCGCACAAGCGGUGGAUGAUGUGGAUUAAUUCGAUGCAACGCGAAAAACCUUACCUACCCUUGACAUGCCACUAACGAAGCAGAGAUGCAUUAGGUGCCCGAAAGGGAAAGUGGACACAGGUGCUGCAUGGCUGUCGUCAGCUCGUGUCGUGAGAUGUUGGGUUAAGUCCCGCAACGAGCGCAACCCUUGUCUCUAGUUGCUACGCAAGAGCACUCUAGAGAGACUGCCGGUGACAAACCGGAGGAAGGUGGGGAUGACGUCAAGUCCUCAUGGGCCUUAUGGGUAGGGCUUCACACGUCAUACAAUGGGUGCGUACAGAGGGUUGCCAACCCGCGAGGGGGGAGCUAAUCCCAGAAAACGCAUCGUAGUCCGGAUCGUAGUCUGCAACUCGACUACGUGGAAGCUGGAAUCGCUAGUAAUCGCGGAUCAGCAUGCCG
rnacentral:rRNA from 1 species